UAUUCUGACAUCAAUUCACUUUUUCCAUCAUAAUCUAACUUCUAGCAUUGGGUUUUGAUGUAUAUCUGUCAGCAUUAAUUUCAUGUGUCACAGCUUUUCCAUAGUCAUCAUUAAUGUCGUAUUAUGCAGAAUUAGAUGUUGUUUUAAUGAUUAUAUGAUAUAGACAAGUGUUCACGCAUAGCGAGAAACCUCAAUAAAAUUUGGACAAGUUCCAAGAUAAUAUUAGCUACUAAACCAAUGAUCAAAAGUCCCAAUCGGAACAAAGGACAUGUGAGGGUUUCAUGGAGAAAAUGUCCAUAUCCAGCUUAAGGUUUAGGCAUUUUAUGCAGGGAGGGCUCAUGAGUAUGGACAUGAGUGUUGAAAUUCCACAUAUAUGAAGCGUGUAAUUUGGGAAGCUUAAGGUUAUAAAGUCUACAAGUUGGUAAGCUGGUUUCAUAGGAAAAGAAGUGCUAUAUAUUUAUUGCUUUAAUAGCAUGACAAACCAGAAAGGUAGAACUCAAGCAAAUUUCUUGGCCUUCAAAGAAGUUUAGACUUUGAAGAUGUUUAGCCAAAACAUGUAUAUGUAGUAAAUUUAUCUAUUGAUAUUGCAUGUCUUGAAAAGAAAUGAAUUCGAACAAGUUUUGUUAGUCAUGCUGGACUUUGAUGCUGAAGACACUAAUCAUGAGGUUAUGAUGGACAUGGACACCUGUGUAUCCCACGCCUGCACAUAUCAAUAUGGAUCUGAAGUAUCCAUGCAAGGUAAUGAAAGAUAUCCAAGUACCUAAUAUCAUUAUUUGAGACUAUGGAUGUGCCAAAACCAUGACUACUAAUUUCAAUAUAUAAGUUGGAGACAACCACAAAAGUCUAAAGUAACCAGGGAAUGUUAUGACCAAUGACAAUUGAUAUCAGAAUAGAUAUUAUUAAGUAUAAUCCAAGCUUUUACACUAUAGCCACAAUGAUGUGAACAUCAAUUUUUGACUGCUAGGCCUUGUUGUCAUUUAGCAUUGGAGAUACAAAUUUGUCCAAAUUCCACUAUCUCAUUUUCUUAUGUUGAUAGUUGGAUUGCAUGCAUGUCGUGUUGGUUGAUAUUACUGAAGUUCGUAUGUCCUUAUUUGUUUCUAAUAUUCAUUCAUUUUUUCUCUCUUGUCAAAUUUCCAUGCAGUUUGAUAAGAUGCAAGAGUAUGCUUUUCUUGUUUAUGAGACCUUCAUUGGAAAAACAGCAUGGAAAUGUAUAUCGCAAAAAUAUUUUUCUUAUGAAGAGUCCGCUAGAUGUAGUAGCAUCAAAGCAUAUUUUAUGCACAUGUUAAGCUUUACAAGUGUUGUUGAAAUUAUCAAUAAAAAAGCAAUUUCUAGAAAACCAUCCUCCCCAUUUGCGGACAUAGUUUUAAGAAGAAAACCGACAAGACCAAAAAAAAAAAAAAACACAACAGCACAAAGUGUCCAAAAUUUGCAUGUAAAUUGGUAAAUACUGCUACCAGUUACAGCCUCACCUUCUAAGAGCACAAGAGAAGAACGAGUGCCCUAACUAUUCUUCAUUGACUUGAUAUCCACUGUAAGAUGCAUGAUAUAUAAGGUCUUACCUUUAAAAAUCUUGUUGUCCCAUUGUGUUAUAGGUCUUCGCCAAACAUUAGUAUUUUUGUAAUCCAUGAUUUUUUUAUGUUUUAACGCUUGAACCCAAAUCUUAUGGGGACACCAGUGGUUUAAGAAGGCUAAGAACUAUUCAAUGAGCUCCAAAAAGUCUGUUAGGUUCCCUCAGAAAAAGAGAUAAUGAGCAUGCUCUAGUCCUCUGGUAGACAAGAAUUGCACUAUUUAGAUGCCACUUUCUGCUUUAAAAGGUAUUUGAGGCAAAGAUUUUUAUAGUGACAAGAAAACAAGCACCUGUAUUUUGCAAUGAAAUUAUAGUUUUUGAAACUAAAUCUUGGAUGCUAGAGCAUAUAUUCCUAUCCAUGAGAAAAUAGUAAAAGGAAGUCGUGGAGAUGUUUCCCUAGCACUCACCUCCACAAUCUUAUACCUCUUCCUCAUCUUUGAACAUGGUCCUUCUGAUUGCUAGUCUAAACGGAUGUUCAAUCUCCAUCUCUCUCACCUUGAACUAGUCCUUAACCAUAAUAUUUUUCUUGAUGGCAUUCAAGAAAGUCCAGGGGAAAAAAAAACUCAGGCAUUGUGGGACCACAUUAAAUUCUUUUUAAACCUGUACCACAUUGAACCUAAUAGAUGUUCUAAAAGAUUUAAAGGAGUACAAAAUUCCCCAUUAGCUUAAGGUAUCUUAUCUAUACAAUUACUCUUCAAAGUUCAAAGCUUAUUAUGAAACAUGGUUAGGUUAAUGUUUCUAGCCUUUCUGAUGCCAGGGCCUGUCCCGAAGAUUGUUUAACCUUUAUUUAAGAGGUGAUAUUUGCCCCUUCCAUCAAAUCCUCUCUCUUCCUCUAAAUCUGUUCUCAAAAUUUCUUUAAAUUGUUGUCUAGCCUGAAAUGCAAAAACAUGAAAUAAGAGGGAAGGUCGACCGGAAUUAUAUAUGAACGAGAGUCACCAAUGUUGCCUCGACAUGUUAAGCCAACUGUCCAAGUGUCCAAUAGAGUUGGACACAGGAACCUUCAGAAAAUUGGACACUGGGACUCAUCCAUCUUGUCUAAUGCGUUUGUAAAUAUGUAUGUGUGUAUUCUAAAUAAUGAAUAAUUUGGGAGACCAACUGCUUAAUAUUUCGAUAGAGUUGACCAAAUGUUUAUUAAUGUUAUAUCACACUUGAAGUUCAAGGUAUGUGUACUAAAAAUUGAUAUGCAAAAAUAUGAUGAUACUAUGAUUUGUUUAAUAUGAAGCGUCAAGUAGUGUCAUGAAGUUUCCAGGUGUCUAAGCGUCCGGACACAUCAAGAAAGCCAAAAUUUGAAGUGCUCAGGUAAGACUGGCCCUUAACCUUAAAUCGGAUAUGUUUAUCAUUUCACUUCCAUCCCUCAGGUGAUUAAUCAGACCUCUUAAGAACAAGUUAUCAAUUGUUCUUCCUUGCACAAAAAUAUGAAAACAGACACAUUGUCAUUGUCAGAAAAUUACAAAUUCACCUUAUGUAUUCUAAAGACAUCAUAAAGUUGAAGAGGAUAUCAGAGGAAAAGUUCCAUUAUUUUAAUUUGAAUGCCAGCUAAUGUUAAUAUUGUGAUUAGGAAACGGUACCUCUUCAACUUUGCUACAGUCAAGAUUUUGCUGGCACUGAUUUUUCAAUGACAAGCUGUACAUAUUUCUAUACACCCUUUGCUUGUCUGUGGACUAUCUUAUGCAGCACUUCUUUUGGCUGGAGUUGAAUAAGCACUUGGUCUCAUGACUGCAAGAUUAAAAAGUCUAUAGGAAGGCGAUUUUUUGAGGAGUUGUAUAGAGAUGGUGAUGGUCAGGUACAUAUUUAAUAGUUUGAAUAUGUUCUGGAAUUGAAUAAGCACUUGGUCUCAUGACUGCAAGAUUAAAAAGUCUAUAGGAAGGCGAUUUUUUGAGGAGUUGUAUAGAGAUGGUGAUGGUCAGGUAACCCUUGAAGACCUUGAAAUUGCAAUGAGGAAGAGAAGGCUGCCAAGAAGGUAUUCUUGGGAUUUUCAGCACUGCACUCAAAGCAACAUAUUUUCAAAGUCAAUUGGGCGGAAACAGUUUUUGUCCUUGAUGGAGCAGAAGGAGCCGAAAAUAUUUAGAGCUUACACAACCCUCUGUUUGAGCAAGUCUGGAACACUUCAAAAAAAUCAAAUCUUGACAUCGCUCAAAAGUGCAGGCCUUCCUGCUAAUGAAGAUAAUGCUGUUGCUAUGAUGCAUUAUCUGAAUGCAGAUACUGAAGGAUCUAUUUCAUACAGUCAUUUCCGCAAUUUUAUGCUGCUGCUUCCUUCAGAGAGACUUGAAGAUGAUCCACGAUUUGGUGAAAGAGUAUCUGGUUUGAAGCUGCUACACUUGUAGCUGUUCCUCCACCUGUGGAUAUAUCUGCUGAAAAUGUUCUAAAGUCUGCUUUGGCAGGAGGUCUUGCUUGUGCACUUUCUACUUCUGUGAUGCAUCCCAUUGAUACAAUUAAGAUGUGUACAAGCAUUAAUUCUUUCAUUCCCAGAACUUGUAUCAAAAUUUCUGCAACUUGGGCUUCGGGGAUAUAUAGAGCAAUUCUUGGGCGAUUUUCGAGCCAUUGAUUGAAGACUGGUUUUUUGGAAGCAAGCAAGUUAGUUUUAAUAAAUGUUGCCCCAACACUUCCAGAUAUUCAGGUGCAAUCCUUGUCGUCCUUCUGCAGCACAAUCCUGGGAACAGCUGUUUGAAUUCCUUAUGAAGUUUUAAAGCAGUGGGUACAGGCAGGCAUUGUUGACAAUGUAGUAGAGGCAAUUGUGGGUACCAUGCACCAAGAUGAUCUCAAAAGUUUCUUUCAAGGGACUGGUGCAACGGUUUUUCGGGAGGUCCCAUUCUAUGUCGCUGGCAUGGGUCUUUAUGCGGAAGCUAAAAAGGUUUUCAGAUUUUCAAUUAUGACAUGUCUAGAUGAUAGAUUUGCUGAGGAUUCCCAGAAAAACUUUGUGGAAGAAUUAUUCCAAAUAAUCAGAAAUCCUCAGCCAGUGUAUGCCAUUUAUAUGCAGCUUGAGUGUGCAAUUUAGUUUUAUCUAUUAUAUUCUGGACAGUUCUUGUGAUUGAUUUUCUGUAGGAUUUAUAGCACUAAAUUCCCAGAAAAUAAAAAUUCCAAACAACCAGAAAAUCCUUAACCUGAAUAUGCCAUUUCCUUUUGUUGCAACUUGAACUAGGUUGCAAUUUGGGUUUUCCUGAUCACAUGUAUUGUUUAUAGAGUUUGUGGAUACGUAUCUGAGUUAAUCAUGCUCAUUUGAAUAAAAUUUUACUCCAACAAAUUCAUACGAAUUUUCAUGAUAUUUGAAUGCACCAUUUAGUUAUUAUAUGGCGCAUAUCCCUAUAUGUUCUAUAUAUUUGUCCAUCUGUGUAUUUUGAAGUUUCUGCUGCUAAUUAGUCUUUUUCCCUCCCCUCCCUUUUGGUGGGUGGAAAGGAGGAAAACUUAUAACAACCUAAGAUGCAUGGAUCAAAAAAACCGUAUAUUUAAAAAUUGUAGAACAAAAAAAAUAAAAUUUUCAUGAAAAAUUAAUGGACAAUAUGAAUGCAUGUUUGACAUGAAAGCUUUUGUAUAUGCAUUCUUGUUGCUCAGAUUGACAAUUCUCUUCUUCCUCCCUUGGCCCUGCUUGUUUUCUGUUUUCAAAAUUCUAAGAAGAAAAUUGAACUAGUCCGAACGAAUAUGUAUGAUGUAACUCUAUUGCUUUCUAAAUUGUUUAUAAAACCUCUGGAGCUUUUGGCAGCAGAGAUUUAUUGCUUUUAGAGAAAGUGAAAAUAAGAGCAAGGAAUGGCAGAAGUUUUGUGCGAACACUUUCUCUAACUUUAAUCUCCAUGUGAUGUUUCACUAAUUUGUAGGGAAACAGAAACACAAAAAUUGCAACAGUACUAAACAGGCGCUAAAUUUUUAGGUAUUUUCAGAAACCAAAACUACCAUAACCAGUUUCUCCUGAUACAGCUGGCUGGCAAACUAUUAUUGUGUGGAAUUUGUGCUAGUGGGGGUAGGAGCAACAGCUUUCCUGAAGUAUGAUAGCAUUAACAUCGUUUUCUCUAUAACUAGAAUGCAUUUUCAAGUGAUAAAUAUUUAUUGGUGCCAGAAACUGUGAUCUAAAUCAACCUACAGCAUUUCUUUCUUUCCCUUCAUCAUGAAUAACUUUCUAAGUGCGGAGAAAGUGAUCCGGUCGAUGUCAGGUUUCUUGUUUAGAAUGUGAAGCAAUAAAAGUAAUUGCAUGAUAUAGUUUCCUGUUGGGUCCACCACCUAUACAGUUUUUCUACAAAAUUUGCAUGUAAAUUAACUCUUGGUUCCGGCUCGUUCUAAAGGCUGCACAGAAUUUUCUUAACCGAGAUUUGGAACCUUAGGAGAUUGUCAUGGUGGGGGCUUUGUCUGGUGGGUUGCUGUUGUCAUUACAGCUCCUUUUGAUGUGAUGAAGACAAGGAUGACGAUCGCUCCGCAGGGCCGGCCAUUUUCGAUGCAAAUGGUGGCCUUCUCCAUUCUUCGUAAAGACGGGCUCACUGGCCUCUUUAAGGGCGCUGUCCCCAGCUUCUUCUGGAUUGCACAUCUUGGUGCAAUGAAUUUUGCUGGUUAUGAGCUAACAAAGAAGGCAAUGGACAAAAGUGAGUACAUGGUUGGUGAGCAGUUGCACAAGAAGCGCAUGGCUGGGUCUGGGUAACCUGUCUACUGAUUUAUUAUUAUUAUUAUUAUUAUUAUUAUUAUUAUUUUCACCCUUUCUGGCUAGACAUGAAUUGGCUGUGCAACAGAGCUAUUCUUGCAAAACAGCUUUCUUAUGAAUAUGUUGCCUUCUAGAUGUGCUCGUUGUUC